rnacentral:lncRNA from 1 species
UGGCCGGCGCGCGGUCGAUAGCUGCCGGCUCGGGCACGGCCAUGGUGCGCGACGGGAGCACGCGCAAGCCGCCUCGACGCGCGGCGUGAGUGUUGUGUGGUUCGGACGCUCGCCCCGACGGCGUCUUGUGCUUUCGGAUUUUUUUCAAUAAUGCAGCAGUCUAAUGGAGUCUAGCUUAGGCGAACGGAAAGCCGAUUCAUGUCUUGCGCUGCAUCCACACGCUAUGUUAGCCGAUACACGU